UAAAACAUCAAACUUGAUACCAAAAGUGCAUGUGCAACUACUCAAACGAGACGUAUUAAAGGUAGUUAUGUGAAUUGCUCUCAAAGCGAUAAUUAAAUUGGUCCUGUGUAUGAUUAAAUUCAUAUUUAAGAAAAUUUCAACGUUUUCUCUUCGUUAGCACGGUGCAGCCGUGUCUUAGUGCAUUUUUUUAAAAAUUGGUUGGUUCAUUAUUUGCGUCUUUGGAAAUUGUAUUUGGCGUUAUCGGUGAUAAUGAAGUCUCGUUUGCUGGGGCUUGUUUGCCUUGUUAUGCUGGCAAUAAAUCCCGUGCAAUCUUCACCCGUAAAACAAACAAUUAACGGCAACAAAAUUCUGUUAGGUGCUAAGGAAUGCACUUGGGGGCCAUCUUACUGGUGUUCUAAUAUCGAGAAUGCUAAGACAUGUGCCGCUGUAUCACACUGUAUUCAAACAGUUUGGGAAAAGCAGCACUAUCCGGUGGAUAAUGAUGAGAUCUGCAACAUUUGUCUGGACAUGGUGAAGCAGGCACGUGAUCAACUGGAGAGCAAUGAAACGCAGGCCGAUUUAAAAGCCGUCUUCGAAGGUUCCUGCAACUUGAUUCCGAUAAAGUUAGUGAAAAAAGAAUGUCGCAAAUUAGCUGACGAUUUUAUACCCGAGUUAGUGGAGGCUCUCGCUUCGCAAAUGAAUCCAAACGCUGUAUGCAGCGUAGCUGGGCUAUGUAACAAUGCCGCCAUUGAUAAACUAUUAGAAGAGAUGAUAGUAUUAAACCCUGAACAGGAAGUACAAGGCAUUGAAGCGAAUGAGAGGGAACCUGCAGUAACUGGUGAUACUUUCAACUGCGACGAGUGCCAUACGAUUUCCAACCUAAUUCAAAAACGCUUCCGUUCGACUGAUCGGGAUAGCGUUUUGGAGAGUAUACUACAAAUCUGCGGCAAAAUGUCAUCAUAUUCGGAUGCUUGCUCGAACAUUGUGCUGACAUACUUUGGGGUGAUGUAUGAGCAUUUGGAACGUAAUUUAAAAGUAGAAGGCGUGUGUCAUCUUAGUGGAGUUUGCGCAGCGCAGUUCCAUCUACAUGAAAAUAACAAACGAAAAGAUCUGAUUGAGGCGAGAUCAAUGGGAGAUGUCGGUAUACUACGAGUGGCUGGCGACGAUGUUCCGUGCAAACUAUGUGAGCAAUUGGUGGAUCAUUUGCGCGAUGUUUUGAUUGCGAAUACGACUGAGUUAGAGUUUAAAGAGGUAUUGGAGGGUCUGUGUAAUCAGACCAAGAGUUUUGCCGAUGAAUGCCAUAGUCUUGUUGAACAAUACUAUCGUGAAAUCUAUGAGACCUUGGUGAACAAUCUGAAUAGCAACGAUGCGUGUUUCAUAAUUGGUAUCUGUCCGAAGGAAGACGGUGUGGUCAGUAAUGGCAUAGUCAUGCCUUUGUUAUCGGUGGCAGUUGCGGAUCGACAUGAACGGACCGAGAUGUACAAACGAAUGAAUCGCCCAUUGCUAGGACAUAACGAACUUAUACUGUCGGCAUCAGAAGUGCAGCAGGCUCAGCUACCGAUUGAUCGUAUUAUGAGUGCACCUAGCGGCCUAAACUUGAUCGAGAACGGCAAAUUCUGCACAUUGUGCGAGUACUUUAUGCAUUUCGUACAGGAAGCAUUAAGCGAACCAGCAAAUGAGGAUGAAAUUAAAAAAGUAAUCGAAGUCACAUGUAAUCGAUUGCCGUCGUCUAUUCGCGGUGAAUGCCAUAACUUUGUAGAUGUUUACGGCGAUGCAGUUAUAGCACUGCUUAUUCAAUCGAUAGAUCCGCGCCAGAUUUGUCCAACUUUGAAGAUGUGUCCAACUGCCAGCUUAGAUGUCGAGAUAUUUGCUCCAGCCCCGGUCGAGGUAUCCAUUACAGCGCGGGGUGAUAAAGACAAACCAACUUGUCCACUCUGCCUUUUUGCGGUUAGUCAGCUGGAGGAGUCGGUUAAAACAGAUCGAUCGAAGGAAAAUAUCAAGAGUGCACUGAAUAAACUUUGCACGCACUUGUCACCCAAGCUACGCCUGGAAUGCAAUGAUUUUGUUGACACAUACACAGCUGAACUUGUCGAAAUGCUUGCAUCUGAUUUCACACCACAAGAAAUCUGUGUUUUCCUUAAGCUUUGCGUUGACCAACGCCCAGAUCUUAGUCUUCUCGGUAUGGAACUUGACUAUGAGAAGCGUUCAUCGCACCAAAAGUCAGACAUAUUAGUAUCCUCAUCAGGUGACAUUGAGACAAAUGAAAUACCUGACAUUACUGUCAACGGAGAAAUUACGAUUGAUCACACACUGAUGAGUAGUUCACCUGAGUGUCUUGUUUGCCAGGAGAUGGUCAAAGAAGUCGAGAAACGGGUGCAAAAUAAAAAAAGCAAGGAACAAAUUAAACAGGCUCUAGAACACGCAUGUGAUCGUCUGCGGAAAUAUAAGACCAAGUGUGAGAAAUACAUCGAUCAGCAUAGUGACCAAAUCAUUGAUCUGGUAAUGAAACAGCUUUCUCCAAAGGAAAUUUGCAACGCGUUGGGAUUCUGUAUUCCUGCUCAAGAAAUCAUCGAUGACUUAGUAAUAGAUGAGGCGCUAUUCGAAUACUUCGGGGAAGAUGGAGUCAUAAAAUUUACUAAGGAUUUUUUGAUUUCAUCAAAGCGUGUCGAUACAGGUUUGGAGAAGAAUCAACCAGCUCAGUGUGCAAUCUGUGAAUUCAUAAUGGUCAAGCUAGAAUCGGAACUAGCUGACAAUAAAACUCGUACUGAAAUCGAAAACGCUGUUCGAACCGUUUGUGAUAAGAUGCCAGGCACAAUUACCAAACAAUGCGACAAAUUGAUCGAUCAAUAUGGCGAGUUCAUCAUCAAAUUCCUGCAGACGUUACCACCUAAAGCAAUUUGCACCCAACUGGAUUUAUGUAAAGAACAACUAAGUCGCUUAAAGCAAUCUGAACUUGAAAUUGUAAAAUGCGCUGUUUGCCACGGCGUUGUUAAAAAUCUUUAUGAAUUGAUGGCUAACGAUGACAUAAAAGGCCAUGUAAUGAACAAUGUGAAUAGUGUUUGUAAUUCACUUCAGGGAGAUUACUUCACACUGUGUGAGAAGCUGUUCACUAUGUAUGGUAUGAAUAUGAUGUACCAGCUGAAGCAUUCCGUUCGAAAGGAAUACGUGUGCAUUAACAUCAAUAUGUGCAGUAAGUCAACACUGCUGACACUUCCAGAAUUCGCUUCAGACGAGCAUGCUGUGGAUCAAUCUUUUAAAGCGCGUGUAGAAAAUGAGGAAACUAUGUUAGUCAGAAUAAACUAAUGUAGUUUGGGAUCGGCAUCCUGGCGGAAAAAUAAAUGUAAUGCACUAAAGUGCAAGAUCAGGAAUUAAACAUAUUUCUUUGGUGGUAACAGCAAUCAAAACGAGCUGAAACAAGCAUUAACAGUCUGUUUCCAAGUUACGCGGUUCUCGACUUACGCGGUUUCGGAGAUACGCGGUUUUCUUAAUUUGACAGAUCAAAUGUCAAAUCUGUGCAAUAUGCUUCAAUAAUUGUACAAUGUAGUAUAAAUUAAUUUUUUGCUGAUAAAUUUAAUCCUCUUAAAAGCCCAAAAUGGAGCCCUUCACGAUUCUAGUUAGUUUUUUGUAUGGAGUUUGACAGUUGGAGGCUGAAAUCAUGUAAACACUCCAUACAAAACCACACAUAAAACUAGCCAGCAAUUUUCAGUCUAGAUUAUUCUAGCCUAGCCUCGAAGCUAGAAUUAGAUUCUGGCACUUUUUCUAAAAAAUGGCGUGUUUUCUGUAUCCCAAGGUGCAUUGAAGAGAUCAGGUGAUGGAAUCUAGAACCAAAGUGUAUGUAGUCCAGGUGGUUUCAUAGCAUGUUUUUAUAACCAAACUUGAAUAUCACUUUUUGCCAGGAUGGAUGAAAACUUUUGUUCAAACAAGCAUUCGUAAGGCUUGACGAACACACAAAACAUUCUAAAAGACUUCUUUAGGAAAAAUAAGCGAUAAGCGAAAAUCAGCCUUUUAAAUACAUACACCUUGGGAUAAGCCCACCUGUAUAUUAUACCCACUUAGAUAGCUGCUCGAACAGCUGUACAUUGAAAACAGCUGACAGGUUGAAAUAUCAACGUACAAAGUUAAAACGGAAAGGGCUUGUAUAUUAUACCCACUAAGAUAGCUGCUCGAACAGCUAUACCAUGAAAACAGCUGACAGGUUGAAAUUUUAAGAUACAAACUUAAAACGGAAAGGGCACCAAUAUCAGAAUACUCAGCAAGAAUCGUAUCAAAAAAUGAAUAUGUGUAUAAAAGUCUUAAUAUAAAAGUACUAACAUAAAAGUACUAACUGUUAUAUUGAAUGAACAUUACCGAGUAAUCAACUUAUUUUAGCCGAAAAUCGUGAAAUUCGACUUACGCGGAUAUUCGAGAUACGCAGAUUCCUCGGGAACGCAGAAACUGCGUACCUCUUUCUUUUCAGGGCUAGGGUGUAUUAUUAAUGUGUAAGCAUUUAAAUGUAUAUUCAAAUUUUAUUGACUUGUCUUAUAAUAGCUGGCAUCGCGAAAGAAAUGGUUUAAAGUUAACAGUCGUUAAAAAUUAACCAGAGUUAAAAUUUGCUAGAAUAAGGCAUCUGGGCAAUAAGAACUGUCAAAAGGGUAUGCGAUACAAAUUAAAAGUCGUUAUGCGAACACACAUUCAAGCCUAUUAUUUUACUCGAAUGACUUUCGAUUCCGUCGGAAGCACUCGAGUCGAACGGGAGAAAAUUUGGUAUCGUGUUCACCAUUCGAGCCGAUGAAAGUUUCGUCGACUUUUUGCCGGCUGUCCACAGCUGUCAUUUUGAAAAUAGCGAAGCAAGCAUUGAGGCAAAGCGUUUGUAAACGAACUGAAGCGAUAGAACUUUUCAUCAUGAUUAAUGCGUAUGUUGUUGAACAUAGUGUAAAUGAUAAUGAUAAUAGUGAAAAUGAGCCGGUUCGUAAUUUAAGUGUGCAUCGUUGAUUGUUGAGAAAUGCUUCUGUUGUUACGCCUGGUAACAAUCCGUUUAUUUUCGGUAGCUUUGCAGACUUUCUUGUAACUGGCUCUCGCGUAUAGGGUUUUCGCUGCACAGUUCAAAAAAUAGUCUUUCUUCUUUCUAUGUAAGUUUGCUACUGUCCCUUUUACGAUGGCGGCAUUUUACUCGAUCAGCUGAUCUCCUUGACCUCGUUUGCCCUUAAGUUGACCGUAGAUGAACUAUUUCCUAAUUGGCCCUAAUGUUGGAGAUCUAGCUGUCUCGUAUUUUCGUCCUUGUCUGUAUCUGUAUAGCGCCAUCUGAGGGAUUUAUUGCGACUUAUUCGAGCUAUUAUCAAGAUAGCUCGAUAUAUGUCAACAUUCGCCUGACAGAUCUCGUACGAGGUCGAUAUCGUGCCAACAGCUUCUGAUCCUCUAGAUCUGCCGGAUCCAGCGUAAGUUUGGUUUGGGCAUUCAUUAGAAUUUGUUUUAAUUAAAUAUGUUUGUAUUUUACGCAGGUUC